CCUACGGGAGGCAGCAGUGAGGAAUAUUGGGCAAUGGAGGAAACUCUGACCCAGCCAUGCCGCGUGAGUGAAGAAGGUUUUCGAAUUGUAAAGCUCUUUCGGGUGAGACGAUGAUGACGGUAUCACCUAAAGAAGCCCCGGCAAACUUCGUGCCAGCAGCCGCGGUAAU
rnacentral:rRNA from 1 species